GCUAGACAUGGUGGCGUGUGUCUGUAGUCCCAGCUACUCAGGAGGCUGAGGCAGGAAAAUCAUUUGAGCCCAGGAGAUCAAGGCUGCAGUGAGCCAAGAUGGUGCCACUGCACUCCAGCCUGGGCAACAGAGUGAGACCCUGUCCCAC
rnacentral:SRP_RNA from 1 species